CCUGCUCCAUGAUUUUAAAUAGCCGCAUCAUUAGUGCUAAGGUAGCAUAAUAAUUUGUUUCUUAAUUAGAAAAUUGUAUGAAAGGAUAAACAUUUAUAUUCUAUCUUUUACCUAUUUAUUUAAAUUAUAAUAAAUAUAAAAAUAUAUUUAUAAAAAAGGAGGACGACAAGACCCUAAGAACUUAAAUAAAUUUUACUGGGGAAGUAAAAUAAUAAUACUUUAUUUCAUAUAUCUAUAUAAGCUAUAAAGAAAUUAACCAAAGUUACCUUAGGGAUAACAGCACAAUUUAUAUUUUAAGUUCUUAUAUUAAUAUAAUAAUGUGACCUCGAUGUUGAAUUAAUAUUUCUUGAAUGAGCAUAAUCAUUUAAAGGUAGUCUGUUCGACUAACAAAAUAUUACAU
rnacentral:rRNA from 1 species